UGGAGAGUUUGAUCCUGGCUCAGAUUGAACGCUGGCGGCAUGCCUUACACAUGCAAGUCGAACGGUAACAGGUUAAGCUGACGAGUGGCGAACGGGUGAGUAAUGUAUCGGAACGUGCCCAGUCGUGGGGGAUAACUGCUCGAAAGAGCAGCUAAUACCGCAUACGACCUGAGGGUGAAAGCGGGGGAUCGCAAGACCUCGCGCGAUUGGAGCGGCCGAUAUCAGAUUAGGUAGUUGGUGGGGUAAAGGCCUACCAAGCCUACGAUCUGUAGCUGGUCUGAGAGGACGACCAGCCACACUGGGACUGAGACACGGCCCAGACUCCUACGGGAGGCAGCAGUGGGGAAUUUUGGACAAUGGACGCAAGUCUGAUCCAGCCAUGCCGCGUGCGGGAAGAAGGCCUUCGGGUUGUAAACCGCUUUUGUCAGGGAAGAAAAGGUUCUGGUUAAUACCUGGGACUCAUGACGGUACCUGAAGAAUAAGCACCGGCUAACUACGUGCCAGCAGCCGCGGUA
rnacentral:rRNA from 1 species